CCUGACCCCAUAGUGUAAAACUCACUAUAUAGAACUAGACAUAUUGGAUAGACACCAUACCUGGAUGUAUUGGUGCCAGAGUUCCCUGACCCCAUAGUGUAAAACUCACUAUAUAGAACUAGACAUAUUGGAUAGACACCAUACCUGGAUGUAUUCGUGCCAGAGUUCCCUGACCCCAUAGUGUAAAACUCACUAUAUAGAACUAGACAUAUUGGAUAGACAUCAUACGUGGACGUAUUGGUGGCGGAGUUCCUUGACCCGCUCACUGUUCCUUUCAAAGGGAACUGUGUGCAACUGUUUCAUUCCAACUCUGUGUUCAAAUGUUUCAGGUAGCCUUCCACAAGCUUCCCACAAUAAGUGGGUGAAUUUUGGCCCAUUUCUCCUGACAGAGCUGGUGUAACUGAGUUAGGUUUGUAGGCCUCCUUGCUCGCAUGUGCUUUUUCAGUUCUGCCCACAAAUGUUCUAUGGGAUUGAGGUCAAGGCUUUGUGAUGGCCACUCCAAUACAUUGACUUUGUUGUCCUUAAGCCAUUUUUCCACAACUUUGGAAGUACGCUCGUAUGGGCGGCAGGUAGCCUAAUGGUUAGAGCGUUGGACUAGUAACCAAAAGGUUGUAAGAUUGAAUCCCUGAGCUGACAAGGUAAAACAUCUGUUGUUCUGCCCCUGAACAAGGCAGUUAACCCACUGUUCCUAGGCCAUCAUUGAAAAUAAGAAUUUGUUCUUAACUGACUUGCCUAGUUAAAUAAAGGUUAAAAAAAAUUGUCCAUUUGGAAGACCCAAGCUUUAACUUCCUGACUGAUGUCUUGAGAUGUUGCUUCAAUAUAUCCACAUACUUUUCCUUCCACAUGAUGCCAUCGAUUUUGUGAAGUGCAGCAAAGCACCCCCACAACAUGAUGCUGCCACCUCCGUGCUUCAUAGUUGGGAUGGUGUACUUCGGCUUGCAAGCCUCGCCCUUUUUCCUCCAAACAUAAUGAGGGUCAUUAUGGCCAAACAGUUCUAUUUUUGUUUCAUCAGACCAGAGGACAUUUCUCCAAAAAGUACAAUCUUUGCCCCCAUGUGCAGUUGCAAACCGUAGUCUGGCUUUUUUAUGGCGGUUUUGUAGCAGUGGCUUCUUCUUUGCUGAGCGGCCUUUCAGGUUAUGUCGAUAUAGGACUCAUUUUACUGUGGAUAUAGAUACUUUUGCACCCGUUUCCUCCAGCAUCUUCACAAGGUCCUUUGCUGUUGUUCUGGGAUUGAUAUGCACCAAAGUACGUUCAUCUCUAGGGGACAGAACACGUCUCCUUUCUAAGCGAUAUGACGGCUGCGUGGUCCCAUGGUGUUUAUACUUGC
rnacentral:lncRNA from 1 species